UUAAUUUGAGAGUUUGAUCCUGGCUCAGGACGAACGCUGGCGGCGUGCCUAAUACAUGCAAGUCGAACGAACUCU
rnacentral:rRNA from 2 species